GGCGAUGGCGGUGGUGGAGGCGGUGGAGGCGUCCGUGGUGCCGGUGAUGGGAUUUCUUCUUUCUCCACAGGGCUGACCUCUUCGACAUUCACAUUGGCACCCACUUCAGCCACGUAAACCCACCUGCUUUUUAGUCCAUGACCGGAAUGCGCCAUUGAGGAUCUUUGCUCCCUGGACUAAAUGCGAAGGAGGCUGCUUCCCAGCUUUGUGCAAUCCUAAGCAAAGCAGAGAACACAACGGCCAUUCAAUAAAGAUACAUAGGGCUGUAUUCGACAUGGGAUAAAUAGAAGCACUGCUACCUGCAACUGUGGAAGUAGAGCUAAACAAUAAUGGUGUGAUCAAAAGAAAGGUUGAGGGGGUCAACUCCAGGGGAGUGUGAUCAAGACAAAGGCUAG